UUAAAAGAAAGUCAGAGAGAGUAAAAACAGUAAAGAAGAGAAAGCCAAUAGAAGAAUGCACAUGAGUUGGGUACAACUUUUGGAUGUUAGGGAGCUCAGUUCUGCAAAGAACAUCUGAAAGCCUAAUGAAGUCCAUCCACUAAGGGAAGAAAACCGAAGCACUUAUCAAUCAUCGGCCUUCUCUAUUGGUCAGGGGCUACAGGCUACAGGGCACUAACUGCUUUGAACAUUUUGGUUACAGAAGCAUGACUGCCGAGAUAGCUCUGUAAUAUCUAAUUACCUGGCAUAAUAGAAGCCUUCAGCAGGAAGAAAGAGGUGUCCAGUGGUGGCCUGAGGCAACUGACCUAUUACACCUGAAUGCAUCUGGUUUAAGUCUUCAUGGGAACUGGUCUCCAGAGCUAAAAUGAGAAGAAGAGGAUUAGAAGAGGUGUAUCCUCCCUAAUGUACACAUUUAAGCCCCGCAUAACCUGGAUCCCAUCCGGGACCACUCCACGGCUUUGGCAGUGACCUAUGCACCUGGAGGAUCUGUAGCUAAAGUUCCUUUAGCCACAAGAGAAGAAAAUGGAAACUGAGAAAAUAAGGUUGCUCGAGUUCACGCAGUCAAGUGGAUAUAGAGCUUGGAGCUUGCUGUGGCCAUGUGAUCACCACAUGGAAUUUGAAAAUGGAGCCAAAGCAGCAAGAAGCAAAGCGGAGAGACGGGGCAAAGUAUUCUCUUGGUGACCUUCUGGAGUUUGAGUCCUACAUCCAGCUACCUUGAAACCAGCCUGUUACAGACUUUUUAGAGACAAGAACCAAUAAAGUCUCCCUCUCUUCCAUGA